UAUUCCUAUUGCCUGUUGCCAGGCAUUGUGUGAUAGGCUUAAGACCGUGCCCUAAACGCUGUGAAGUUACGACGUGAGCGGCGCGUGAUCACGUGAUUAUACACUGUUUUUCGCAAUUCUCAGAAAAAGCGUGAGGACGCGGGGUCUGUUUUUCGUGGCUGAAUGCUUGCCGUCUUUCCGCCUUCCCCCCCUCUCCGAUGUUUACUAACGUGCCUACUUUGUUCGCGGCAGUCGGUGUUGUAGCAUCGUUCAGUUACGAAAAAUAGACGCAUGAAUACGGUAGUGUUUAAGCUUAGAUAACGGGGCUCGACACAUUAGCGUCUUAAGACAACACUUAAGAUGAUAUUGAAAUAAGAAUCGACUAUGAAUACCGGCCUACGUGGGCGCCCAUCUCUGUUGCGUAUGCAUCGAGACGCAUCGGGAACCCCUAGUCCACAAUCUUGCUUUAAGUAAGCUGCAAGAAAUUAACCAUUACAAGUGAGAGCGAGGGGAAUAGAUGCCUGUGAUUGGUUAAUUUCUUACGGCUUAAGGCUCACAGCUUACUUAAAGCAAGAUCGUGGACCAGGAGUGAAGGUAAUCACGUGAUUGCGCCUCGGGGCCGAGAGAUGGCGUGCCAUUUUCCGCGCAGUUUCCCGCGCGGUCCCAAAACCUGGUGACGUCACGUUAUUUCCGUCUUUUUGCGCGCUUUUCACCGGACGGUUGGUGGCGUCGCUUGGCGAGUCGCUUGGGAGAUUGGGAGACACUCGUCAUUGACUCUUCCGCCGCGUCGGAUCGUACGAGACGCGUCGAAAUAUUGGCUCCUGCCCACUGGACGCGGUAACGUUGCCGCACGGCGGAACUUGGCUAGGGAAACCAGCACUAGCCAAUCCACAUCCGAGCGCACGAGAGCGCCGGCAACGUUACCGCGUCCAGUGGGCAGGAGCCAUAUCUCCGUAAGUACGUCGCGCGUUUCUCCGGCUCGCCCCGAGGUAUGUAUAUCGCGAGUGUAAGUGAUCGCCGAGUGGCAGAGGAGACGACCCUCCGGUCAUCUCGUCGCGGCGGCACCGGCCACGCUACGCGAUGACGCCUCUGAGAUAUUCGGUACCGCGUCGCGCGUCCUUUUGUUCCAUUUUGCCGCAAAGUGCGUCGCGAGCGUGACCGGCCGGACAAAUCGACGCGCCGUGCGAGUGUCUUUUCGGGCGUCUCGAGAGUCGCCGCGGUAUUGCGCGGCGCAUUGGCACGUAGAGAAUAUACAAAAUGCAUGUACGGUGCAUGUACGGAGCCGCGUGCGUUGCUCGGGCGUCGCAUACGAAUCGACGCGCCGCCAUCUUUGCACGCGUCUCGUCUCGCCUUUUUUAAUUUCCCUUCGCUCCGAAGUGCGUCGCGAAUGUAACCGGUGGAGUAGUGGGUGCCGUAGAAAUGGUCGACGGGUAAUGUGCGGCCAAUGGCGGAGGAGGCGGAGGACGAUCCGCGGACGCUUGAAGGUUUGGGCUAUUCGCGUGGCUUUUAACCGGUCGACUCUCAGCUUUUCGGUCGGCAGAACUUUCGCAUACGUUUCUCUGUCGACUAAAUUCAAGAAUCGAGCCCCCGAGAGCAGCCUCUCGAUGCGAUGGACGCGACGUGCGUCUACGACAAUUCUUCGUGCGUCGACUCGCGUCUUGUACCCGUUUCCACCAUCUUUCUCUAAUUUUACGAAUUGGAGAAGGACAACAAUCCGCUGGUCCGAAGUGCGUCGCGAGCGUGACCAGUCGAAGAAGUCGGACAACGAGGAUGGGCGGUCGUUGCGUCUCGCUUGUACAAUCGUCAACGCGAACGAGCAGGUGCCGAUUAAUGGACCCAAUCGAUCGAACUUUGUGCGUUAACUUUGCGCCAGCUUCGGGUACACGUACAACGGAGAUGUAGCACAGCGACAAUGUGGACGCUCGACUGUUCCGUCAAGUGCACUCCGUGCGACCGUAGAGCACGGCUGUGCGACACGCGCGCAUACCGCGAGCGUACGUGGAGAGAGUAGUCUCGUGUCGGCGAAUAUGUAUUCGCGAGCGAGAUUCUUGGAGCGAACCAAUCUGGAUGCUCCACUGCUCGCGAGUGCGUCGCGGAUGCGAGCAUUCAGGAGUGCGCGAUCGCCAAGGUAAACUUGCCGGAAGUUCCGUCCAGUCGCGUGGUCGCGCGUGCGCGAGUAAGGAACAGCCCGGAGGAAGCAGCGAGGGAAGCGGCAACCGGCACAUGGCAAAAGUGACAUGCAGAGGGAUGCAGCUUCUACUGAGCAGAGGGAUGCAGCUUCUACUGAGCAGCGUAUCGGCCGUUUCGGUGAGCGACCAACAUAUUAUUAUUUGAUGUGUAGUUUUUCAGAAACAACCCACACCGGCCAAUGUUUGUAUUUAAAAAACAAACGACGUUUCGGUCCCGGAUUUGGAGCCUCUUCAAGUUAUCUCUUCACACAAUUGUUAUUGGUCUCAUAUUGUUCGUUUGGCCAAUAUCGUUAUGUUAAUAAGAUAUUGGUAAAAAAAUCAGUUCAAUCUGAUCUUUCGCGUCUCGCACGACACAACUAUACAUCUCUCGAUAUUUUUACUCGGGUCGCACAAUUAUUCCACUCCGCACUCUUCAACCAAGGAGUGCAAUGAUUUCUUGACCAAUAACGAUAUUGGCCAAACGAACGACACGAGACCCAGUAACAAUUGCGUGAAAAGAACUUGAAAAGGCUCCAAAUCCGGGACGAAAACGUGGUUUGUUUUUAAAUAAAAACAUUGGCCAGUGUGGGUCGUUUCUGAAAAACUACACAUCAUUGGUUUUAUAUUAUUUAUUAAUAUUUAUUUAUUACUGGCGAUAUCAAAUCUAUUGGUGAGAUAUUACUG